CCCCCAGCCCCAGGCGCCCGCCUCCUCCUCGUCGUUCGCCAGCUCUCCUCCUCUCGCCCCCUCUCUGGCUCUGGUUUUGUUUGUUUCUGACAGUCCGUCCGUCUGUCUCUCCGCACCGUCUGCUGUCUCGGUUUCCUCUUUGACUCUCCACGCUCGAUCGGAGGAGAGGGAAAAGUUUUUGAAAAUGCCCAUUGCCCAGUUGCUGGAGCUAUGGAAGAAGAUAGAGGUGGAACCGAUGGAAGUGGAGACCCCCGAGGAGGAUCUUGACCUUGAUGCAGAACCGACCACAGAAGAUACCACGGAAGAAGUAACUAUACAUGUUUUAUUAUAGCCUGUUUAUUUGGGGAGGAUUGGGUCUGAAAGAUGGGGUGAAGAGGGAAAUGGAAGUUUGAAAUGACUGAAAUAAUAAUAUUCAUUAUUCUUAUUAAUAAAUAAUAUGUGCAUAUUAUAUUCAAUGAUUUCAAUAAUUGCCCUCAGAAGGAAUACUUAGAACAUAAGAAGAAAAACUAUGAACCAAGGCAAUAUCCAUAGUCUUUUGGAGUUUGGACUUUUUUUAAGAGAGGAA
rnacentral:lncRNA from 1 species